CCGACACCGCCCGUCACACCCAUGGGAGUCGUCGUGCUCCAGAAGUGGCUAGGCGCCAACCCGUAAGGGAGGGCAGGUCCCCUAAGGAGUGCACGGUAACUGGGGUG
rnacentral:rRNA from 1 species